UAAGAUCACCGAAGUUAAGAAACCUCGAGCCUGGUCAGUACCUAGAUGGGUGACCGCUUGGGAAUACCAGGUGUUGAA